GUUAAUGUAGCUUAAUAAAAAGCAAAGCACUGAAAAUGCUUAGAUGAGCUUCCCAGCUCCAUAAACAC
rnacentral:tRNA from 1 species